GGCUAGACCAAGCUCUGCCUGAACCUUAGUUUCAGCCCUGGAGCCCUUGAGAGAGCUCUGCUGUUGGUUAGUAAUUACCGUGAAAGUAUUCAGCUUCUUCAUUACAAGGACAGAAAGUGGGUUGUUAUGAGGAUUCAAUGAGGAGACCUGUAUGAAGUGCCUUCCCCUGUGCCUGGCUCAUAUGUUUAUCCUGGCAGGUUCUGGCCUUUGGGAAGACUCUGAGACACUGAGAGACCCGGCCCCCCAUUUCUUCUCUGACCCAGGGUACAGGUUACCUUCAGCGCCAUGGCCUUUUCAUCAAGGUUCGCCUUCUGGGAGCAAAAGGAAAGUUGGAUUUUAAAAUCUUUAUGUUUUUCCUGUGUGCUUGGCAUGUUGUAUCUGCAG
rnacentral:lncRNA from 1 species